GAUGGAAUUGCUUAAGACACACAGUCAUCUUGACAUAAAGACUUCAUUCAUGUUUAGCCUGACUUUUAUUGACUCAUGGUAACAUUAGUUUCUCUUUCAAGAUGUCAUUCAUUUUUAUUUGCAAGAAGUAUGUCCAUAGUUCUAGAUAAAUUAGGCCCAAAAGGAAGUGUGGUAGAAAAUGGUUAGAAUUUUCUUUCCUAUUUUUAGAUAACGAAUUAAUUUUUUUGAAUAUUUGAUGAGAUGUAUAGUCUUGUUAAAGCAAGAUGAUGUUGAUUCUUUCUGAAUACCUUGUUUCCAUCAGGGUUGUGGAUUACAGUAGUUUGGGGCUCCUGAGUGAGAACAAAAUAGAGAAAGAAACAGUUCGCAUUGCCAAUGUCUCUAGAUGCAGCAUGUCUACAUAGAGAUGUAGACAUGAAGAUAAAGAGCCACUGAAGAUGAACGUGAAAGACAUGGUGAUGACUGACAGGAAUGAUGAUCGCUAGUCUCCGAUGGUCACACACAGGCUGGACCAUGUCCGUGAUGGUGCAAUGAGAAAACAGACGUGUCUGCUGUUGCUAUGCCACCUUAGCAAACAAAGAGCUGCUUCAGUGGAGCUCCAAUCAGGUUUCAGAGUAUGAAAUUAAUAUAACCAUUCUCAUACUGUUCAAGUUGGAUUCUGUUUCCAAGCUUCCAAUUGUUCACAGUUAUAAAUAUAUUUCUUUCUUCCCUCAUUUUAUUCUUGAGCCUGAAGUCACACACACACAUACAUCUUUCUCUGGGGAUCCAGCAUUACUUUGCUUAGGAGCAAUUAAAUUAUCCAAUGAAAAUUUAGAUCUUCUGAGAAAACGCUGGUGUCACAAUAGCUUUUAAAAAUGACAAGUGUAGAUCUCCUCUAAAAAUUACAUCUUCAAU
rnacentral:lncRNA from 1 species